rnacentral:misc_RNA from 1 species
AUCUCAUUUAAUUAAUAUUUAGUAUCUCAAAAUAAGAUAAUGUCUGUAUUAUCUAAUAUUAUCCGCUUAUAUGAAAACAUGUAACUUACCUGUUAUUGAAUUCCCUGACAAAUAUUUAUUAUUUUGGAAAUGCUAUUUCCAACAAUUUAUUUUUAUGGAUCGCGUGGAAUGUAUUGCGUGCAUUUGGAUCACACGGAACUUUGCCCGUUUGAUUAAAAUAAUCAAAUUGACGAAUACCUUCGUUAAUCACGCAAAUCCUAACUUAUUUCAUACCAAAAAUGUUAAUAAUACAUUAAAACGAAUAAUUUUAUUUUAUUAAAAAUAAAUUAAUGUAACUGGAGUUACAUGUGUAUUGUGAAUCUUGUUACUAAUGUCACUUCUAUAUAAGAUUAUGAGAGUGAAAGAAGUCUAGUAAAUCAGGUUUAUUGAUAACAUGAAGGAAACUGAGAUUUAUACUUCGACUGUAAUAAAAAA